CCCGGUCCUCGGUAGUGGCUUCCGCUGUAGCAGCGUGGGCCUCGAUCGAAGACCGGC
rfam:Nocardioides sp. Root1257 contig_1, whole genome shotgun sequence.